rnacentral:rRNA from 1 species
GAUUCUGGCUCAGGACGAACGCUGGCGGCGUGCCUAACACAUGCAAGUCGAACGGGGAUACGUUUCGGAUGUAUUCUAGUGGCGCACGGGUGAGUAACGCGUGAGCGACCUGACCCAAAGAGGGGGAUAACAUCGAGAAAUCGAUGCUAAUACCGCAUAAGACCACAGUAUCGCAUGGUACAGAGGUCAAAGGAGCAAUCCGCUUUGGGAGGGGCUCGCGUCCCAUUAGAUAGUAGGCGGGGUAACGGCCCACCUAGUCAACGAUGGGUAGCCGAGCUGAGAGGCUGAUCGGCCACACUGGAACUGAGACACGGUCCAGACUCCUACGGGAGGCAGCAGUGGGGAAUAUUGGGCAAUGGGCGAAAGCCUGACCCAGCCAACGCCGCGUGAGGGAAGAAGGUUUUCGGAUUGUAAACCUCUGUCGCAGAUGACGAAGGAAGUGACGGUAAUCUGUGAGGAAGCCCCGGCUAACUACGUGCCAGCAGCUGC